rnacentral:rRNA from 2 species
AAGUCUUAAAAGUCUUAAUUUGAUAUAAUAUUAGUAAUAAUAAAUACAUAUCUUUAAGAUUCUAUUAAAAUUGAAUAAAACUUUGUUUAUAUAUUGAUAAUGACAAUAUAUCUAUUGUGUCUUGACUAAUUACGUGCCAGCAGUCGCGGUAAUACGUAAGAGACUAGCGUUACUCAUCUUAAUUAGGUUUAAAGGGUACUCAAACGGUCUAAAUAUCUAGUAAAAUGAUAGUAUUUGACUAGAGUUAUAUAUAAGAAGGUAGUACUUGAGGAGGAGAGAUUAAAUUCAAUGAUCCCAAAGGGACUCGGUAAAGGCGAAGGCAGCCUUUUAUGUAAUAACUGACGUUGAAGGACGAAGGCUUAGAUCACAAAAAGGAUUAGAUACCCAAGUAGUCUUAGCAGUAAAUGAUAAAUGCCAUAUGUUAGAAAAAUCUAGUAUAUAAAUGAAAAUGUAAGCAUUUCACCUCAAGAGUAAU